UCAGGGCAGCAGCAUACUACU
rnacentral:miRNA from 1 species